GCAACCGAUCACAGGGCAUGGGAAAAUGGGCUUCCCGUUCACUCAGCCGUACCUGAGCCAUGUGCCGGCCGGUUAGUAAUGGGUGGCUGACCACCAGCGAAUACCAGCUGUUGAUUGUU
rnacentral:rRNA from 1 species